CCUACGGGGGGCUGCAGUGGGGAAUAUUGGACAAUGGGGGGAACCCUGAUCCAGCCAUGCCGCGUGUGUGAAGAAGGCCCUCGGGUUGUAAAGCACUUUCAGUGAGGAAGAACGCCUGGUGGUUAAUACCCAUCAGGAAAGACAUCACUCACAGAAGAAGCACCGGCUAACUCCGUGCCAGCAGCCGCGGUAAUACGGAGGGUGCGAGCGUUAAUCGGAAUUACUGGGCGUAAAGCGCGCGUAGGUGGCUUGAUAAGCCGGUUGUGAAAGCCCCGGGCUCAACCUGGGAACGGCAUCCGGAACUGUCAAGCUAGAGUGCAGGAGAGGAAGGUAGAAUUCCCGGUGUAGCGGUGAAAUGCGUAGAGAUAGGGAGGAAUACCAGUGGCGAAGGCGGCCUUCUGGACUGACACUGACACUGAGGUGCGAAAGCGUGGGUAGCAAACAGGAUUAGAUACCCGUGUAGUC
rnacentral:rRNA from 1 species